CCCUCAACCUUCUCUUCUGCAGGCUAGACAUCCUCAGCUCUUUAAGUCACACUCAUAGCGCAAGAUAUAACAUAAUCAUCUGGAUUUCAAGGGAUCCUCAUAAAGUGACACUGCCUUCAGGUGACAGCUAAACAAGUCCCACGGAGGCCAUCCCAUGACACAGCUGGGAACCCAUCUUGCCAGCAUGCAGAGACAGAAAGAAAAUCCAUUUUCAGGAGUCAAAUGUUCCCCAACUCCUGGUUGAAGGAAGCAGCAGAAAGUGGAGGAAGGCAAGAAGACAACAGAGAAACAUUGUAAGAUAGCUGGCCAUCCCCAAAUAUGGACUUUGGUGAGGUAAGACAGGUCCUCACUCUUCAGGAUGCUUUUCCCAGCUUUCAUCUGCUUCCCCCCCUUCCAUCCCACCCAUGGGAUUACAGUGGUUUCCAGUCUUUGAUCCUCCAGUUGUUUUGUGCUUUAACUCCCAGAUAUUCCAGCUAGCUUACCAAGCUGUUAGGAAUUGUGAGAGCUGAAGUUCAAAACACCCGGAGGACCAAAGGUUGGAACCACUGCUAUAAGACAGAGAACUGUUCUCCAGCACCACAUUUCAAAUGAUAUUAUUUGCAUCCUAGAAUCAUAGUAUCAUAGAAUCAUAGAGUUGGCGGAGACCUCAUGGGCCAUCCAGUCCAGCCCCCUGCCAAAAAGCAGGAAAUUGCAUUCAAAGC